rnacentral:lncRNA from 1 species
GAGGAAUCACCACACUGUCUUCCACAAUGGUUGAACUAAUUUACUUUCCCACCAACGGUGUAAAAAGGUGAGAAGAACUCUUAAAGGGGUCCAACUGGGCUGAACAAUCUGUAGCCAGAUCACCUAAACCUGCCCCUUGAAUGGUGGUAGGAAAGAGGGAAGAAGUGAACAAGGGGCAGCACAGGGGAACAUGAGCUCAUGCCCCAUUUUUGGAUGCCGUUGGAAAAGAAAGCCAAAUAGCAAGAGGGAGGGGAUGUAAAAUCUUGAUAAAAGAUCUCCAGCUGCAUGGUGCUUUUCAUCAACAAAUGGAUCUGAGGUGCAAUUAGUAAAUGUGAAAGGAUCUCUCAGGACAGCCACAAAAGGGGUUGCUAAGUUUGGAAGCUUCUCUGAGUACCUCGCACAUGCAUCUCCAAGAGCAUAGAUCUUCUGCUACACGACAGGGCCAGGGCCAGGACACCACUUUCAGCUCCAGGCAAUUGCACUGAGGACUCAGUGACACAACCGUGUGAAGUGCCUGCUUCCCCUUCGCCUUCUGCCAUGAUUGGAAGCUUCCUGAGGCCUCUACAGAAGCAGAAGCCGCUAUGCUUCCUGUACAGCUUGCAGAACUAUGAGCCAAUUAAACCUCU